rnacentral:tRNA from 1 species
AAAGAUAGCCCGGGGCAAGCUAUUGCUGCUAACUAUAACUUAAGUGGUUCAAUUCCAUUUUGUCUUUU